UCCGCACUAGUAAUUUAAUUCAAUGACAACCUUAAGAACUAGAUAAGUUGAUUAAUCAAGAAAACAUAACUGUCCGCAGUCUAUGUUUGAUUUGAUUGAAUGUUCUCCCUAAGAUUAAUAACGUAGAUCCGCCACAAUUAUUAAACUCAGUUGCUUCACAAGUUCAUAUACCACAACUCCGGUUUUGAUAUCAGACUUAGCAAUAGAUUGUCUACAAUAAUAACUUAGAGUCCGCUCUAGCAAUUAAAAUAAACAAUCAUAGGAAAAAUAAGCAUAGGAGAACAAACAUAUUCAUCAUAUAAACUGAAAAGAAAAUGUAAAAUAAAUCUCACAGUUCUUGAAAUCCGAAGGUUUCCGUGUCCUUGCAACCAAGAAAAAGUGUUUAGCCUUGCAUGUUUGUUGAACACCUAAUUAAAAAGAAGGAAGAAUGCAUAAAUUCGAGUUUCUUAGAGGGGGGGCGUUUUUCUCCUCUUGGCUGGCUGCCCCCCUUCUCUUCUCUCAUUUUUUUUUAUAUCCUAGGAAACCCUAGUCUCUAUUUUACAAAAUAGUUCUCCCUUAAGUAGACUGUUUACAUUUAAAUACUUCAAUAACUAUUUUCCUAAAAAAGGAGAAAUAGCCUUGCAUGAAAUCUUCAAGCUUUGACUUAAAGGAGCUAAAUUGCUGAAAUAAAAACUUGGAUAUCGGUUUAGAUGCUGGCAGAAUUCAGUUGUCAUCUUUGAAAAAUCAUAUAUCCCUCAUAUGACAUAUUUUUUGGCUGAAAUUUGGAUAAUUUAUAGGAUGUUGAGUCAGAAAUCCAACAAAAUUGAGUUUGCAUCAAUUGGACUUCUGUAGCUCUAGAUAUUCAAGCUGGAAUGGCUGAAGGUCAACACUGGCAGAUUGCGAGAUUUGACUUUGAAAGCUGCGAUUUCCAUGCUUUUUCUUAUUUUAUUUUCUUGCCUUAGAUGUCCAGAAAGGUAUGGAUGUUAGCUUUUUAAUGCCACUAGAAUCACUUCAUUUCAACCUCUAGAGCUCACGCUCUGCACAAAACAUCGACUGAAGGUCAAAUCUGCCAAUUAUCUCCAAUUUACUCAUUUUUGCGUCUUUGAUCCAAAAGUGCCUUCAAAACAUAAAACAAAGAAUAUCAAGACAUUUUAUAUAUAAAACAUAGGCAAAACACCAGCUAAAUAUGAGUGAAGCUAUCAAAUAAUAUGGUUGCGUCACUUUUAUAUAUAUAUAUCAUCAUAAAAAUAAAAUUAAAUAUAAUAAUUAGGAGUAAAAAAUGGGUCAUGACAAAAUAAAAAAAAAAACACAAAGGAAAAUGAAAAUGAAAAUAUUCGCAAGCUAAAAUCAACAAAAAUGUGUGGCAUCAACAAUGUAAAAAAAAAAAAAGCUUGUUGCUCAAUGUCAAAUUUGGUCCCUCAAGUCUUAAUUUUUCUUUAUAUAUUUUUUUAUUUUGUAACAUAAAGCAUCAAUCUAAUACAAAGAUUUGUUUUUCAUAGUAAUAAGUCUAUAGAAAGCAAAUAUAAAUAGAUUAUUAAGCUCAUUUCUGAAUGAAAGAAAUGUAGGAGUAAAUAAAAAAAAAUUAUUUGGUGAUUAGAAUGGAAAAAUUUCGAAGAAAAAAAUGAAAACCAUGCGAAUCUAUGUCCAUAGUACAACAACAAAGUUUUCACCACACAACUCGAUAUCUUCUUAAUAAAACAAGAACUAUAAAAAAAAAAAAAAAAAAAACACAAAGGAGUAUUAUAUGGUUUGGUCCAUUAAUACUUUAGUGGCAUUUAAUUUUUUCCAUUAGUUUUUUUUUUAUCAAUUAAUAUAAGCUCUUAAUCUUCUUAAUUUUUUUUUAAAAUCUAUCUUUCUUCUCUAAUUUCAUUAAAUCUAAAAAAAAUAAAUGUGAUAUCUCUCAACAUAUUAGCAUAAACUUCUUGUAGGUAACAUGAUAUCAUUAUCUACAUAUUUUUUAUAAUGCAAUUAAAUGAGCAAAUUAAAAAUGUGAAAAAGAGAUAUUUUCAACAUAAAAAUCAUCUACAUCUCCAAAAACACUUGGCAUGAUUGAGAAAAAUAAAAUAAAAAUAUUGAUUCACAUUUAAGUUUGAACCUAAAAUAACAUAAUUUGAUAGAAAAAUUGAGACUUAAGUUAAAAAAAGAAUUGGAGCAUUUAAUUUCAUCAAAUUAAAUUGACAGCAAAUGCCAAGUGGGGUUGUUUAGAGUAACCAAGCAACUAAAAAAACGAAGGAAACCAAAAAAAUAUAAAAAAAUAUCACACAUAUGGAGCGUCGUGAUGAUCAUUUUCUCGGAGCGGUACCUCGUUGGUGAUGGGGAAAAGAAUAAAGAAUUUUUGUUUCUUAUCAAUAAAAAAAGCAUGGAGUUGCCACUAAGUAUUUUGAUUGUUAGGAACCCUAACUGGUUUUAGAGUCUAGAUAAAAGGAUUAAUUGUGUAUAGAGAGGACGUAUUACCCUAUUAUACAUUACCUAAGUUAAGCUGCAUUGUUUGUUUGUCUGAUAUAAACUAAGGUAUUGUUAUGUUUUCUAGUUGUUGAUUUGUUUAAUAUUUUUAAAAAAUCUUCUUUAGUAAAAAAAUUAUUAUCUUAUCAGGUUAAAACCUAGCCAUUUUAGAACCAAAACAUAUUUUUUUUAUUUUUUUUUCUUUUAAUAUCAGGAAUACGUUUUAUGUAUAAGUUUAUAAUCCUUGAUAUUGAGAUAAACAAAAUAAUGUUUUUUUAUAUUUUUAAAAUAUAGGUCAAGUUUUCAUGGUUUAAAUUGGUUACUAAAUCUAAAAAUUCAUGUAAGAAUAAAAAGACUAUUUUUGUGAUUUUUUAAUAUACUUAUAUACAAAUAUAAUUUAUUUUUGAGAUACUUGUCAAAUUUGAUUUAGAAAAAAAAAAUUCUAAGAAAAUUCUAAGAUUUUGGGUAUUUGAAUUAAGGGAAAAUUUGGGCUAAAUAUGAAAAUAAACCUCCAUGCUAUAUAUAUGAAGCCCAUCUUUUAAAUACAUAAAAAGAUCCAGCAAGACCAAAUUAAAACAAUGCAUUUUAGCCCACGAUUAGAAUUCGGCUUAUCAUGCAAUGGUGCACUCGUUUAAAAUACGAAGACCUAAAUUAAUUACCCUCUAGCAAUUGUCAUGGCUCAGCAUCAUUGAAGAGGAGAAGCACACAAUCCUUAAUUAAAACCAAGCAAUGAGGUAUAUACUCAUGCUCUAAUCACAACACAAUCCAUGUUUGAGCUUAUACAAAUAAGCUCUGUCUACUGUCCAACAUACACAAUGAAUACUAUAUUUAAACACAAAGUCCGGAAGGUCAUCAGAAUCAUCCACAAAAAAAAAAUGUUUAAUCCUAACUAUGCAUGUUUUAUUGUCUAACCCCAAAUAUUGAAGAUCAUAAAUCCAAAAACAACUUAUGGCAGAAAGCUACCCCAUGUUUCAAAUUUUAUACAACCGAAAUGCAUGAUCAAAGGGAAAGAGAUGGAGACGUUUAUACCUGCAAAAACAAAUGUGGAUCUUGCUGCAAAAAAUGGCAGGCUUCCUCAGCUUUGACAGUAAAGGUGGAGUCCCUCAAACUGCUACUC
rnacentral:lncRNA from 1 species